rnacentral:tRNA from 1 species
AGAAAUAAGUUUAAACAAGAAAAGACUUCUAAUCUUUUUCCUUAGCAAUGAAAAUUUGUUAUUAUUUC